rnacentral:rRNA from 1 species
AAGGACGAACGCUGGCGGCGUGCCUAACACAUGCAAGUCGAACGGAGUUGAGGAGCUUGCUCCUUAACUAGUGGCGGACGGGUGAGUAACGCGUGAGUAACCUGCCUCUGAGAGGGGAAUAACGUUCUGAAAAGAACGCUAAUACCGCAUGACACAUAUUUGCCGCAUGACAGAUAUGUCAAAGAUUUUAUCGCUCAGAGAUGGACUCGCGUCCGAUUAGUUAGUUGGUGAGGUAACGGCUCACCAAGACCGCGAUCGGUAGCCGGACUGAGAGGUUGAACGGCCACAUUGGGACUGAGACACGGCCCAGACUCCUACGGGAGGCAGCAGUGGGGGAUAUUGCGCAAUGGGGGCAAACCCCCUGACGCAGCAACGCCGCGUGAAGGAUGAAGGUUUUCGGAUUGUAAACUUCUUUUCUCAGGGACGAAAUUUGACGGUACCUGAGGAAUAAGCUCCGGCUAACUACGUGCCAGCCGCCGC